rnacentral:rRNA from 1 species
CCUACGGGGUGCAGCAGUGGGGGAUAUUGCACAAUGGGGGAAACCCUGAUGCAGCGACGCCGCGUGAGUGAAGAAGUAUUUCGGUAUGUAAAGCUCUAUCAGCAGGGAAGAAAAUGACAGUACCUGACCAAGAACCCCCGGCUAACUACGUGCCAGCAGCCGCGGUAAUACGUAGGGGGCAAGCGUUAUUCGGAUUUACUGGGGGGAAAGGGAGCGUAGACGGUUUUGUAAGUCGGGGGUGAAAGUCCGGGGCCCAACCCCGUGACUGCCUUGGAAACUGUGUGACUGGAGUACAGGAGGGGCAAGCGGAAUUCCUGGUGUAGCGGUGAAAUGCGUAGAUAUCAGGAGGAACACCGGCGGCGAAGGCGGCCUGCUGGACUGAAACUGACGUUGAGGCUCGAAAGCGUGGGGAGCAAACAGGAUUAGAUACCCUUGUAGUC